AAUCUAAGAUUUAAUAUGGAUGGCAAUGCUGAUAGUGCACACAUUACCCUAAAAAGGAUCCAAAAAUGCCUGUGAAACUCUGGAAAAAUUUCUCGUGGGUGAUACCUGCGCUGAAAUAAUUGAACCUUGGCCUGAAAUAUUUAUACCUCCUAGAGAAAGAAGAGAUAACUUUAAAUAUGAGAAGCUGAUAUUGCUGGGACAAGGGUUAAUAUUAAUUUACAGCAUUACUCCAACAUUCUCCCUGCUCAGCUGCCACAGUGACUAGAAUUGCCACAAUCAGGGAUUUAUUUGAGUCAAGGAAAUAUCUCCAAAAAUAACACGUCUUUUUUGAUGUUUACUGCCUACAAAUUUCCAGUGGUUCCCAUUGCCUUCAAAGACAAGCCUGAAAUCCUUAUUUAAUGUUUUAUGCCAGCUUAAUCUUCUGCUAUAACCACAGCCUACCGCUAGAAUUAACUUUUUGCAUUUGAGUAAUUAGGCAAUGAAAAAUCAUCUGGAUAGUGAAAUAAACAAAGCUGUGAUUUAGGAAGAUUGUUUCAUAGAAAAAUGUAUAGUGGGUUAAAAAGAGGAAGAUGAAAUUGGAGGAAGAUUACUGCAAUAGUGAAGAAUGGAGAAAACAAGGGUAGGAGCAAAGGGAAUGGAAAAAAGUGAAGAUCAAAAUAAAUUAAGGAAGUAGAAUAGGCAGAAAAUGUGAACUUUUAGAUACAAAAUAUAAAAGGAAGAGUCCAAGGCAACUUAGGUUUUGUGCCUGGGUGAAAUAAAAGGGUCAGGAAGAUGAUGAUGAAUUGAGUUUUGUAUUAAAUUUGAGGUGAUCCUUAGCAACUGGAGGAAGAUGUCUCAUGUUUUCUGUAUGCAUAUGUCAGAUAUGUAUGUGAGUAUUUUUAGUGACUUGCAUAAACAUAACAAGGCACACAGAUAUUGGGUAAUGAAUAUUUCAUUUAAAGACAAAUGGGAAACAAAAUGUAUCAUUUGUUGGAAAUUAAUGGCAGUGAAAUAUGGAAACAAUCUUGGGGAUAGUUCUUUGUAUUCCAAUCUCCUGAAGCCACUAUGCCAGCGUCUUUAUCUGUAACUACAAACAGCUACAGCAAGGACCCUAUCUUUUCCACACUUUGCAAAUUCCAAAAGGCACACUCAUCCAGCAAUCACUCAAAUAUAUGGGCUAAUUAUAAUAUCUAUAUUCAUAAAAAAUUUAUAUCAGCCUUAAUUUUUUAGAAUAAGCAUAUUUUUAUAAUCAGAUAAAACAACUUAAAAUAUAUAAUAAAACUAUAAUUGCAUGCCUAAUAACAGAA
rnacentral:lncRNA from 1 species